rnacentral:rRNA from 1 species
UACGGGGGGGGCAAGCGUUGUUCGGAAUUACUGGGCGUAAAGGGCUCGUAGGCGGCCAACUAAGUCGGACGUGAAAUCCCCAGGCUCAACUCGGGAACUGCGUCCGAUACUGGCGGGCUUGAAUCCGGGAGAGGGAUGCGGAAUUCCAGGUGUAGCGGUGAAAUGCGGUAGAUAUCUGGAGGAACACCGGUGGCGAAGGCGGC